rnacentral:rRNA from 1 species
AUUGAACGCUGGCGGAAUGCUUUACACAUGCAAGUCGAACGGCAGCACGGGGCAACCUGGUGGCGAGUGGCGAACGGGUGAGUAAUAUAUCGGAACGUGCCCAAUCGUGGGGAUAACGUAGCGAAAGUUACGCUAAUACCGCAUACGAUCUACGGAUGAAAGCGGGGGAUCGCAAGACCUCGCGCGAAUGGAGCGGCCGAUAUCAGAUUAGGUAGUUGGUGGGGUAAAGGCUCACCAAGCCAACGAUCUGUAGCUGGUCUGAGAGGACGACCAGCCACACUGGAACUGAGACACGGUCCAGACUCCUACGGGAGGCAGCAGUGGGGAAUUUUGGACAAUGGGCGCAAGCCUGAUCCAGCCAUUCCGCGUGCAGGAUGAAGGCCUGGUGUAACUAGCUUUGUUACGG